rnacentral:rRNA from 1 species
UACGUAGGGGGCAAGCGUUGUCCGGAUUUACUGGGUGUAAAGGGUGUGUAGGUGGCGCCGUAAGUCGGGUGUGAAAUUUCGGAGCUUAACUCCGAAACUGCAUUCGAUACUGCGGUGCUUGAGGACUGGAGAGGAGACUGGAAUUCAUGGUGUAGCAGUGAAAUGCGUAGAGAUCAUGAGGAAGACCAGUGGCGAAGGCGGGUCUCUGGACAGUUCCUGACACUGAGACACGAAGGCCAGGGGAGCAAACGGG